rnacentral:rRNA from 1 species
GACGAACGCUGGCGGCGUGCUUAACACAUGCAAGUCGAACGAUGAACCCGGAGCUUGCUCCGGCGGAUUAGUGGCGAACGGGUGAGUAACACGUGAGUAACCCGCCCUUGACUCUGGGAUAACUGCGGGAAACUGUAGCUAAUACCGGAUACGACCCUCGGCGGCAUCGCCAGGGGGUGGAAAGAAUUUCGGUCAAGGAUGGACUCGCGGCCUAACAGCUAGUUGGUGAGGUAACGGCUCACCAAGGCGACGACGGGUAGCCGGCCUGAGAGGGUGACCGGCCACACCGGGACUGAGACACGGCCCAGACUCCUACGGGAGGCAGCAGUGGGGAAUAUUGCACAAUGGGCGCAAGCCUGAUGCAGCAACGCCGCGUGAGGGAUGACGGCCUUCGGGUUGUAAACCUCUUUUAGUAGGGAAGAAGCGAAAGUGACGGUACCUGCAGAAAAAGCACCGGCUAACUACGUGCCAGCCGCCGCCGUAA